AACCUUAAGUUUACUUGUCAGGGCAGGGACUUCUCUGGCCUUGAUCCUAGAACCACAUAUGCACACAUGUAACUUCCUACAUGUGAGCCGUCCUGUUAGUUGUGUACAAAUAAUAUACACAUACAUGCCUGGUGCUUUAAAAUGGGCCAGUUUACCAAAGUUGAAAAUAAUUAGGAACAAAAUUGGGAAGGAAAAAUAAAACAGAAAAAUAUGAAAGAUAACUGGAGCUGUUUGGAAACAUUUCAUUAGAUGCCUAAAAUCUCUCCGUUCCACAAUCACGAAAAGCAGCUACUUUGAUUUAGAAAUAAAAAAAAUAAAUUGUAGUCAAGAGGGAAGCAAACAGUAGCAGUAAAUUAUAUAACACAUUGAAAAAAAAGGAAGGUUGACAGCAAUGAACAUAAAAUAGAAGUUAAGAAAUUAAGAAAGUAGAUAGGACAUGAUUAGGAAAAGAGGUAUGAAGAAUAUACAGCUAGGAAAAUAAGGACAGUAUGAUUUUUUUUUAAAACAUAUUAGGAUUCCUUUUUUCCAGAUAAGGAUAUAGAUACAUUACUACACAGAAAUAGUAACUGUGCAGAAAAAACAAAAUGUUAAAUAAGUUUUGUAUUUUGAAAGAUGCUGGAUAAUGUAUUCAUUUUAUAAUGAUUAAAUACUUUCUAGUCCAACAGCAACUAAGGACAAUGUUAAAAAGAAUCUACUAAAGUUAAACAUUUUAAAAUGUGCAGCUCCAGAUAACUUGCAUCCAUGAGCUGUGCUCUCUAGACCAUUGAUGUUGUUUUUAAUAAAUCUUAGAAUACUGAUGAAGUUCCAGAAGACUAAAAAAAAAAAAAUCUACUGUUGUGCUACUAUUUAAAAGAGGUAACCGUAUGACCCAAGUAAUUACUGACCUGCUAGCCUGACAACAAGCCCAGGCAAAAUAAUGGAAUACCUGAUAUGGGAUUCAAUCAAUAAAGAAUUAAAUGAUGAUAAUAUAAUUGAAUGUCUGUCAGCAUAGCUUAAUGGGAGAUCUAGUCAAACAAGCUUUUUUUUUAAAAUAGAUUUCAAAUGUGGCUGGUAACGAAAACCUCUUUUACUAACUGGUGUUAAUUUUCUGCCCAGUGCAUAUUAUUGAGCAACAUCUCAUGUGCUUAUCUAAGUAUGAGCCCCCUCCAAAUUUUACAGAAAAAAUAACAGGUUGCACUUGGUUGCUUCUGGCAGAGCUGGAAGUAAAACCCAAGGUUUCUACUAUGGCAGAUCCCCCAUCUCAGUGACACAGCCUCUCAGAAAAAGUCUGGCAAAUCAGGGUGCUCGGAUGUGAAAGUAGUAGCAUUUCACACUGACUUUGUACAGCAAUAAAAUGACUCCAAGGUGCAGACAGUGGAUAAUCAAAUCUGUAGUGUCUAUAUGUCUCCUCUAUUCUCAUCCUGUUCAGAGAAAAAGUCACAAAUGGCAGUGAUUUUACCCUUUCAAAUAUUUUAGAAAGUAAUUGUGAUUGACUGACAUGUCAGCACCUCACAAACCUGGAGAGACUUACAAUGGCCUGUUCUUACUCCUUCCAAUUUAAGGUCUUAAUUGUCUUGUUCAAGAUUUUAGAAGCUGUUCAAAUACAUAAACACAUUCAGUUUUCUUCAAGCUGCGGAUAUUUUCCCUUCCUAAAUGACUAGUUACUUAAGAUAAAUGUCUUCCAAAGAGCGGCUCUCUCCCUCACCUAACCCAUCUGCCCUCCAUUUACUACACAUUCAAACUAUAUGUCAUCAUUUUCUGUUUCCUGCAUGAUCAUUGGUUUCUGUUAUAAUGUUACAACAGUGGUUGUGAAAUUGUUUUAAAAGUGGAAUUUUCAGAGUGGCUGACAGUGAUAUCAUGCUUGUGUUAGCAAUAACCCUACAAUUCACAGGUAAUGUCUCCACCAGCGCUCCUUUUUUAUUGCAGUGCUUAGACAGAAGAGCAACAAUCAGUCUUAUUUAUACAGAUCAAAACAUAUAUAUGUGGUACUUUAGAGGCAAAUAAGAGACACGGGGUCAGCUCAUCAGCUGGUGUCUUUACUGAAGUCAAUGGAGCUGUACUGAUUUACAUCAACGAAGAAUCUCGCCCAUGAUCCUAGUUUUUAAAAAGUUACAGUCUGUCAGGUCUUAGGCAGUCCUCAUGGUCAGAGCAGGAGUCAGGCCUACUGGACAGAGUCCAUAUGUGAGAGCCCAAGGUCAAGGCACAGUCAGAGCUGGGGAUUGGAGCUGAAGAUGAGAACUAAAGUUAGAGUCUGAAUACCAGAACCAAAGAUCAAGACAGAGUCAGAACCAAGGCCAAGGAUCAGAAUCAUUGUCAGAAUCCGAAUGCCUGAGCCCAGGGUCAAGACAGAGUCAGACCUAGGAAUUAGUGUUGAUUGUCAAAGAACUGAUUAUCUGGAAUCAGGGAAUGCAGGAGUGGUUACCAGGCAGAAGCAAGACUGGGUGCAGGGCUUUGAGUGAGACAAGCACAGGGAGGCAGGUAUGUUCAGGUAUGUUCAUUGAGUAGCCACUGAUCUACUGCAGCUGCUUGGCUUAAGAGCAAGCCAUCUGAAUACCUUAGCCCAGUGGUCCCCAAACAGUGGGGCAUGCCCCGUGGGGGGGCACAGAGGAACAUUCUGGGGGGCAUAGCCACCUAGCCCUACUCUGCCUCCAGCUAUGCUGCAGCCCCCAGUCCAGCCACAGCUCAACACUCAGCCAUGGCCCCAGCCCCACCCCAAGCCUUGGCCCCCAGUCAUGGCCCCAUCCUUGGUCUCCAGUCCCAAACACGGCUCCACCCCAGGCCCAGCCCCAGACCAAUCCCCAACCAUGGCCCUGGCCUCGGCCUCUGGUCCCCAGCCUGGAUGCGACUCGGGCCCUGACUGCGGUCCCGCUCCCGGCCUCAGCUCCUGACCAUGGCUCCCAGAGGGGAAGAAGUGCGGAUGGGGGGGGGGAGGGUCGGCUAGAUGUAGUAAGUUUGGGAACCACUGCCUUAGCCAAUCAGGUGGUUUUGCUGUAGCCAAGCUGCACUCAUUGAUUGACUGACUGAUCAGGCGCAGCUACAAGCCCUUAUUCCUGACACAGUCUGAGAUCUUACAGUAUUCUGUGCAUGCUGCAUGCCAACUAAGUGAAGGCACUGAGCCCUCUGAAGGUCAGCACUUCUUCUUUUUAUGCCUUUACUUAGGACCCAGUACUGCAAGGGGCUGAAUGCUGAUAUUACUGUGCUGUAAUAAUCAAAAACACGCUAUACUCAAAAGACCAACACAUCAGGCUAAAGUCUCUCUAUAAUAAAGUAGCCAGUUUAGGUUGCCAGGCGUCUGGUUUUUUUUUUUUUACCAGAAUGCCUGGUC